rnacentral:rRNA from 1 species
CGGAGGGUGCGAGCGUUGCUCGGAAUCACUGGGCGUAAAGCGUACGCAGGCUGUUUCGUAAGACGGGUGUGAAAGCCCGGGGCUCAACCCCGGAAUUGCGCCCGUGACUGCGAAGCUUGAAUGCGGGAGAGGGAAGCGGAAUUCCUGGUGUAGAGGUGAAAUUCGUAGAUAUCAGGAGGAACACCGGUGGCGAAAGCAGCUUCCUGGCCCGACAUUGACGCUCAUGUACGAGAGCGUGGGGAGCAAACAGGAUUAGAUACCCUGGUAGUCCACGCUGUAAACGAUGAGUGCUAGCUGCUGGGAAUGUCUACCGUCUCAGUGGCGAAGCUAACGCAUUAAGCACUCCGCCUGGGAAGUACGGCCGCAAGGCUA